UUGUGGAGGAGGACGCCGAAGGUGGGCUGAUGACUGGGGUGAAGUCGUAACAAGGUAGCCGUACCGGAAGGUGCGGCUGGAUCACCUCCUAACAGGGAGACAAAACUGAUUAUGAUGUUUGAAUUAAAUAAAUUUAGACCGUAAUCCUGUCACCUUAGGUCGAUCGGUACCUCAGGUUGAAAACAGGAAAAAAUGAGUUUCAUUUUUUAUUUUGUUUUUAAUUUUAGUUCCUAAACUUUGUCUAGGUCACACCCAACUAACUUUCUCCUGGGCUAUUAGCUCAGGCGGUUAGAGCGCACCCCUGAUAAGGGUGAGGUCCCUGGUUCAAGUCCAGGAUGGCCCAUUCGUUGUUGGGGGUAUAGCUCAGUUGGUAGAGCGCCUGCUUUGCAAGCAGGAUGUCAGCGGUUCGAGUCCGCUUACCUCCACUGAUCAACUACCUGAUAACUCAAUUAUGGAGAUUGUCAUUUGGUUUUUGUGAUUUAGAUCUUGUUCAUCUGAAUGAACCUAGCUUCCUAUCAAUUCUCUUUAGUUACUAAAAUUUCUGAUAAGACGCUGGGCUCACACAGAUAUUCGAAAGAGUAUCCGUCUGAUUCAGCAGAACCUUGACAACUGCAUAGGAAAAUCUAGAAAAAUUAAAGCAUCUCAUAGAUGCAUAAAAUCAAUUAAUCAGAUACUUUGAUUAGUUUUUUUUGUGCUUAAUUCUUGAGUUAGAGCAUAAUUUCUAUGAAUUAAAUAAAAACUUAUUUUCAAGUCUUUAUUUAAUUAUAAUUUUAGUAAGAACAUAGAAAUUUAUUGGUCAAGCUACAA
rnacentral:misc_RNA from 1 species